UACGGGAGGCAGCAGUGGGGAAUUUUGGACAAUGGGCGCAACCCUGAUCCAGCCAUGCCGCGUGAGUGAAGAAGGCCUUCGGGUUGUAAAGCUCUUUCGGCCGGGAAGAAAUCGCAUGGGCCAAUACCCUGUGUGGAUGACGGUACCGGAAUAAGAAGCACCGGCUAACUACGUGCCAGCAGCCGCGGUAAU
rnacentral:rRNA from 1 species